GACCAUAUGACGUUGCACCUGGACGCUCUCUGGGGUUUCUGAUGUCCGCCAUUACCUCGCUUCGCCUGAACUUCUGAUGGUCAAGUCAACUCAUUUAAAGAAGGUUUGCUGCUGUUUCCUGUAGCGGUAUGACAUUGUAGCCAUAUUGCUGAAUUUGAUCCUUUUGGAUGGGCUGA